AAUCCCAAAUCCCGCUUUUUUUGGGAAUUUUUCCCAUAUUUUUCCCGUUUUUGCACGGUUAUGGAGCCCCAAGGUCACCCUGGUGGUGGCCCCAAGGUCACCCUGGUGGUGGCCCCGUGCAGAAGGAGCCACUGGGGCUGUCCACGGGCGAGAAGGAGAACCUGCCUGGAGGUGGGACCCCAAAUUCCAAA